UACGUAGGGCGCGAGCGUUUGUCCGGAAUUAUUGGGCGUAAAGAGCUCGUAGGCGGUUUGUCGCGUCGGCUGUGAAAACCUGAGGCUCAACCUCGGGCCUGCAGUGGGUACGGGCAGACUAGAGUGCGGUAGGGGAGAUUGGAAUUCCUGGUGUAGCGGUGGAAUGCGCAGAUAUCAGGAGGAACACCAAUGGCGAAGGCAGAUCUCUGGGCCGUAACUGACGCUGAGGAGCGAAAGCAUGGGGAGCGAACAGG
rnacentral:rRNA from 1 species